rnacentral:misc_RNA from 1 species
UUUUGUUCACUCUAGGUCCAGAGAGCACAAAUACUGAACAUUUGAGAAGCGCAAUGAAUCGCCAUGUUAUCCAAAACUAUGGUGUUCACUAUGGUGUUUACCAAAGAUUUAAUAUCCAUGGAAUUCUACGAGACUGUAUAUCUGAAUACAUGUUGAUUAAGGACUUACCUUGUGAGUUAAUGAAUCAGUCUGUUUUUAAUACAUUUAAAAUUAAAAUUGGACCACGAUGUGAUGUGCGUGACCCAAAAACAAAUGGACUUCUUCAAAAACAUUUUUCAACGUCUUUAUAACUGUACAUCAAAUACAUACAUUGUAAUUUUUUUAAUUGCAGUAGUGCGUGGCAGAUUUUGCAGAAUCUUUUCGGAAAUCCUUCAAGAGCUCGAGAAUAAAUCGUUUACAUCCGACUACCAGAGGGCGCUUUGUCAACUAAAUAUGGAACAACAGAACUUCAAUAAACUUCUGACCGAUGUUCUUCACUGUACCAGUGAUACAUACCAAAUUUUUGUCAACAUUGCUUCCUUCCAGUUUAAUUUGACCACUCCAGCUUUCUUAUUUAACUCUCCCGACUCCUACGAGAUGGGAAUGAUGUUCUACAAAGAAUGUCUACGCCUUACCCAACAACACAAGAACAAUUACGACUCAUCCAAAGUCCUUAGUGGUUUAGGAAGUGUUAUUACGAACAUAAAAGGGGACUAUAUCCUCGGAGAACACCACUAUAGGAACGCCUUAAGAAUCAGGCAGAGUGGCCCAACAGUGAAGGACUGUUCAUUGGCUUUCCUUUAUCAAAGUCUGGGUUGGAACUUGGGAUGCCAGGGGAAAUCACAGGAAGCUAUCAUAUUUCUUGAAAAAGCCCUAACAAUUGAAAUAGAACUGGGGAUGUCUUUAGAAAAUCUCAUCCUAAACACACUUCAAUCCCUUGCCUUAUUUCAUCUAGAUCUAGAUCACAUGGACAUAGGCGAAAAAUAUCAACUGGAGGCCUUACGACGCAGACGACAAGCUAUUGGGACGGACAUGCACCCCUAUUCUUGGUGCUAUGUUGAAUAAUGUUGGUGAAAUGUAUCAAAAGAAGGGGCACAUUUCCCAGGCAGAACAAUAUUUUAGACGUGGGCUUGAAAUCAAAACACAAACAAACGCAGCAUGGAAAAGCAUAGCGUUAUCUGAGGUGAACGUUGCAAACAUAUUGACUGAAUCUGGAAGACCCGACGAAGCGCUGGAAGUCUUGGACAGCAGCAUGAAACGGGCGGGGAAAUUCCAAAAUAUUUAUGAGGAUAUUCGGUCUCUUAUAAGCGAGUGCUUUGGAAAAGCUUUUAUGGCGAAAAAAAUGUAUAAAGAAGCUGUUGGGCAUUUUCGGAAAGCUGUUCGUCGUCAUGGUUGCAGCCAGUCACGUGAUUACGGUGUCCUUAAUUCGCAGUGUCUAUUAGCCGAAUGUUUAAUUUGUCUCGAAAAACACUGAAGAGGCCAUAGAUUUGAUUAAUUCUGACCUUCGACAAAAAGAUGCAGCAAUUCGACACAAACCGUCUACGCUGAAUAUUCUUCGUUGUUAUAGGAUUCUUCGAAAUGCCCAGUCAGCCAUAGGUAAAUAUUCAGAUGCACACAUAUCGCACGAGCAAGGAUGUCGUGAAUAUGAGCGACUAAAAGAAUGUUUUUAUAAAGAAGAAGGCAUGGAGAAAGUUCGGAUAGAAUGGACUGACCAUACAUAAUAACGACAUUGCUAUCCUCGAUUAAUUGCCAGAAAACACAGGGUUCAUGUGAAUUAACUUUAUAUAUUAUCUUUAUUUCUUUUUAUGUCACUUGCGUUGAGAUUGUUUUAUUGAAUUUCUCAUCUUCUCUUCUCAUCUUAUUAUGAAGACCAAGCCAAUAUACAUAUUGGCUUGGAAUUUGUGUCAUACAUGUACGCAUAACGUAUAAUGUCCUUUACAAAUAUUGUCCAGAAUCAAAUGCUUUUUAGAUUACCAGGUUAAACAGUUAGUUAUUUUGUGAAUCUUGUUUUGAGCCAAAAAAAUUCUUCAAUCAUUAUUUCCCCUUAACCAUUAUAGUGAUCACAAAGUGUUGAGAAGAUAACUAAUUAAACUAGCUGUAUUC